GGAGAGGUGCCGGAGCGGUUGAACGGGACGGUCUCGAAAACCGUUGAGCCCUCGCGGGUUCCCUGGGUUCGAAUCCCAGCCUCUCCG
rnacentral:tRNA from 1 species